CCUUUUGAAACAAAGGUAGGGUUGCAAGAUGGUCAUAGCAACAUUUUGAAACGAAGGCAUGGCUGCUGUUUUCAAAGAUGGAGGCAGACAGAAAAGAGGAGAUGUCAUUCUGAGGAAGACAAUUGAGCGACUGCUUCGGAACCUGGAUUGGCCGGACUCUGAGGGUUUAGAGUUACCACCUGGACAAAAUCCUCAGCUUCCUUUUGUGGUUUUACUUUUUCUUUGUUAAUGUUAAAUCUUCCAGACUGGUAAUGGAGCUCAGUGAUGGGAUGCUUGUCCAGCAUGCAGCAAGACCCUGAGUUUCGUGUUUAGCAUAAUAAGAAAAAACACCAAACCAAGCCACCUUUGGAAUUAGGGAUGUGGCUUAGCAUAGAGCAUGUGCUUAGCAUGCUGCGUGUCCUAGGUUAAUUCCCAGUGCCAAAAAAUAAAGCAA